UACGGAGGGUGCAAGCGUUAUCCGGAUUCACUGGGCUUAAAGGGUGCGUAGGCGGGCAAGUAAGUCAGUGGUGAAAUCUCCGGGCUUAACCCGGAAACUGCCAUUGAUACUAUUUGUCUUGAAUACUGUGGAGGUCAGCGGAAUAUGUCAUGUAGCGGUGAAAUGCUUAGAUAUGACAUAGAACACCAAUUGCGAAGGCAGCUGGCUACACAAAUAUUGACACUGAGGCACGAAAGCGUGGGGAUCAAACAGG
rnacentral:rRNA from 1 species